rnacentral:rRNA from 1 species
CCAAUCGCGUAUAUUAAAGUUGUUGCAGUUAAAAAGCUCGUAGUUGAAUUUUAGGCCUGGCCGGGCGGUCCGUCUUUGGCGAGUACUGUUCUGUGUCGGGUCUUACCUUCUGGUGAACCGGCAUGUUCUUUAUUGAGUGUACCGGGGAGCCAGGACCAUUACCUUGAAAAAAUUAGAGUGUUUAAAGCAGGCAUUUGCUUGAAUAGAUUAGCAUGGAAUAAUAGAAUAGGACGUUGGUUCUAUUUUGUUGGUCUAGGACCACCGUAAUGAUUAAUAGGGAUAGUUGGGGGCAUUAGUAUUCAAUUGUCAGAGGUGAAAUUCUUGGAUUUAUUGAAGACUAACUAUUGCGAAAGCAUUUGCCAAGGAUGUUUUCAUUAAUCAAGAACGAAAGUUAGGGGAUCGAAGACGAUCAGAUACCGUCGUAGUCUUAACCAUAAACUAUGCCGACUAGGAAUCGGGCGACGUUAUUUUCAUGACUCGCUCGGCGCCUUAUG